rnacentral:sRNA from 1 species
GCUGAGUAUGGUGGUAUAUACCUGUAGUCUCAGCUACUCAGGAAGCUGAGGCAGGAGAAUUUCUCCAGACCAGGAGCUUAAGUCUAGCCUGGGCACAUAGCAAGACCCUGUUUCAA